UACGUAGGGUGCGAGCGUUAAUCGGAAUUACUGGGCGUAAAGUGUGCGCAGGUGGCCGCGCAAGUCGAGUGUGAAAUCCCCGAGCUUAACUUGGGAAUUGCGCUCGAAACUACGUGGCUCGAGUGUGGCAGAGGAAGGUGGAAUUCCAGGUGUAGCGGUGAAAUGCGUAGAGAUCUGGAGGAACACCGAUGGCGAAGGCAGCCUUCUGGGCCAACACUGACGCUCAUGCACGAAAGCGUGGGGAGCAAACAGG
rnacentral:rRNA from 1 species